AUCCAUGCUAUCUCCUAAAGCAGUCAUUCUGAAAUCCAAUCUGGGGACAGUGCAGACUAAAUAAAAUUUCAUUUUGAUUUGGCCUCCCGCUGAGAAUGGGACUGCUUUGUUUCAGCCGACAGAACCAGCAAGCCAGAAAGGUGUUGAAUACACACACACUGACUUAACGGAAAAUUAUUGGUGGAGAUGAUGACGGGGAUAUGCACCCAGAGAUUCCUGCGUGGAACUGGCUUGAGAGGCAAAGAAUGUGGAGACAAAGUCUACAGUACCUGUUGUUGUUACUGCUUCCACAUCAGUGUCGAAACUCCAUGGGAACAUGGUUCCAGGCUUAGCUAUGGUCAAGGGAAUCUUAGGCAGUACUUGUUCUGCAGGAGCCCAUACUACCCAAGCAUAAUGGAGAGAGAGCUGGCAAUGUAGUGGAAAUCCUGAAAAUUCCUUGUCCCUGGCAGAUCCCAAGGGUCAUCGUGGUAAGGGAAAUAUUUUUUAUCUGGGCCUCAGGAAAUAGUGGUCUGGCUAAUGAUCAUAGCAGUGCCGAGGGUUCUGUGAACAGUAUUUGCACAUUGGCAGCUGGUGCCAUCACUGACCUCUGCCUCACAACUCCCUCUACAAGGUCUGUUCAGCAAUGAUAGCUGUGGUUCCUACAGAAGUGAGGUACCAGUGUGGAGGACAGGACCCCAAAACAGGACUUCAAUUUAGAGUAGGGUGAGUUGCAAUGUGUGAAUAAAAUAUUGAUGUGGCCAGCCAGGCA